rnacentral:miRNA from 1 species
UUCCCUUUCUGAAUAUCUGUAGA